GCCGGAAUAGCUCAGUCGGUAGAGCAGAGGACUGAAAAUCCUCGUGUCACCAGUCA
rnacentral:tRNA from 3 species